CGUAAUCUUCAACCAAUCUGAACCUUUAUCCUUGGCACUGGAAGAAUUCACCGUUGAUUAGUUAAAAAACUCGUGGGUUCUUGGGUGCCAAAGACUAAGGAUAAGAAUUCAAGAUUAUA
rnacentral:pre_miRNA from 1 species